GCAAUUCCACCUUUCUGUUCAGCUGAAAGAAUUUGGCAAACUAAUUAUAUGGCAACACUGGAAUGCACCCACCUCUUCAACAGAAAUGAGAGAGUAAAAGGUACCAAGUGGGCUGAGCAGAUACCUGAAGAAGGUAGAGGCCAAGAAAUGCAUAACUUCAUCCAGUCCUAAGAAUCAUACUGUUAGUUCUUUGAACUAUGUUAAUUAUUGUAAAAGAAAAACUCCAUUCUUUCAUAGUCACCAGCAGCUUUCUGAAUCCGUUGACGUGUAAGUAUCAUAAUUAAUAGCAUAUCAUCAGAUUAAGCUACGCAACACUAAACUGAACUCUCCU
rnacentral:lncRNA from 1 species